rnacentral:rRNA from 1 species
GAUGAACGCUGGCGGCGUGCCUAAUACAUGCAAGUCGAGCGAACAGACGAGGAGCUUGCUCCUCUGACGUUAGCGGCGGACGGGUGAGUAACACGUGGAUAACCUACCUAUAAGACUGGGAUAACUUCGGGAAACCGGAGCUAAUACCGGAUAAUAUAUUGAACCGCAUGGUUCAAUAGUGAAAGACGGUUUUGCUGUAACUUAUAGAUGGAUCCGCGCCGCAUUAGCUAGUUGGUAAGGUAACGGCUUACCAAGGCAACGAUGCGUAGCCGACCUGAGAGGGUGAUCGGCCACACUGGAACUGAGACACGGUCCAGACUCCUACGGGAGGCAGCAGUAGGGAAUCUUCCGCAAUGGGCGAAAGCCUGACGGAGCAACGCCGCGUGAGUGAUGAAGGUCUUCGGAUCGUAAAACUCUGUUAUUAGGGAAGAACAAAUGUGUAAGUAACUAUGCACGUCUUGACGGUACCCAAUCAGAAAGCCACGGCUAACUACGUG